GACGAACGCUGGCGGCGCGCCUAACACAUGCAAGUCGAACGGAGCGUUUUGGCAGAAUUCCUUCGGGGAUGAAGCUGAGAUUGCUUAGUGGCGAACGGGUGAGUAACACGUGAGCAACCUACCCUAAAGUGGGGGACAACAUUUGGAAACGAAUGCUAAUACCGCAUAAGACCACGGAGUCGCAUGACUCUGGGGCCAAAGGAUUUAUUCGCUUUAGGAUGGGCUCGCGCCUGAUUAGAUAGUUGGUGAGGUAACGGCUCACCAAGUCAACGAUCAGUAGCCGGACUGAGAGGUCGAUCGGCCACAUUGGGACUGAGACACGGCCCAGACUCCUACGGGAGGCAGCAGUGGGGAAUAUUGGGCAAUGGGCGAAAGCCUGACCCAGCGACGCCGCGUGGAGGAAGAAGGUUUUCGGAUUGUAAACUCCUGUCUCCGGGGAAGAUAAUGACGGUACCCGGGGAGGAAGCCACGGCUAACUACGUGCCAGCAGCCGCAGUAACAC
rnacentral:rRNA from 1 species